ACGUGGUGCAUCUAUUGAUUGCCGAAACAAGAGUCACCUCACACCACUUUUACUUGCUGUAAGUCGAAAAGAAGAGGAAAUGGUGAAGUUUUUACUAGCGUUUGGAGCAAACAUAAAUGCAGUUGAUAAGU